rnacentral:rRNA from 1 species
AUCCGCCGACGUUCCUCCGAUGACUCGGCGGGGAGCUUUCCCCGGGAAACCAAAGCUUUUGGGUUCCGGGGGAAGUAUGGUUGCAAAGCUGAAACUUAAAGGAAUUGGCGGAAGGGCACCACCAGUAGUGGAGCCUGCGGCUUAAUUUGACUCAACACGGGAAACCUCACCAGGCCCGGACAUUGGAAGGAUUGACAGAUCGAUAGCUCUUUCUCGAUUCAGUGGGUAGUGGUGCAUGGCCGUUUUUAGUUGGUGGACUGAUUUGUCUGGUUAAUUCCGAUAACGAACGAGACUCUGACCUAUUAACUAGGCGACACCGGUAUAUUCAUAGCUACCGGCGAGAUUUAUUCUUCUUAAGGGGACAGGCGGCUCUCAGCCGCACGAGAUUGAGCAAAAACAGGUCAGUGAUGCCCUUAGAUGUUCUGGGCCGCACGCGCGCUACACUGAAGGAAUCAGCGUGUGCUCCCCUGUCCGAAAGGUCCGGGUAACCCGCUGAACCUCCUUCGUGCUAGGAAUUGGGGCUUGCAAUUGUUCCCCAUGAACGAGGAAUUUCCAGUAAGCGCGAGUCAUAAGCUCGCGUUGAUUACGUCCCUGCCCUUUGCACACACCGCCCGUCGCUACCUCCGAUUGAAUGAUUUAGUGAGGUCUUCGGACCGGCGGUAACCGGCACCGACAAUCUCGUCUGGUAUCGGUUUCGCUGGAAAGAUGACCAAACUUGAUUAUUAGAGGAGGUAAAAGUCG